UCCGUAGGUGAACCUGCGGAAGGAUCAUUACCAAAGAAGAACAGAAAACCACUUCAGGGAGGCGGACCUGACGGACGUCUUGAACCCUGUCGGGACCACCCUAUACCUGCGAAACGCCACCGUCCUAGCGGUGGCGGACGAUGAAUCAGGCACGGUGGCCCGUUUACCUUCACAUAAUUCCCUGCGUACCACUUCCACGUUGCUUCCCCGCAAUCCUCACUCAUUGGUGGACGCGGGGGAGGUCUCCAACAAAACGCACCUGCACUCAACAGCAGUCAGACGACCAAUGACAAAAUCAUUAAAAACUUUCAACAACGGAUCUCUUGGUUCCCGCAUCGAUGAAGAACGCAGCGAAAUGCGAUAAGUAAUGUGAAUUGCAGAAUUCAGUGAAUCAUCGAAUCUUUGAACGCACAUUGCGCCCCCUGGUAUUCCGGGGGGCAUGCCUGUUCGAGCCUCAAUGAGACAUCUCCCUCAGUGCUGGCCUUCCGGCACGUAUGGGGGGUUUUGGUGGAUGCCGACGUCUUGAACGGCGUGGGCUCUGCCCAAAUCAACAGUCCGCGAGCCCAGAGGUCACCAGCCGACGUAGUGAGAUACUUUCUCGUCGGCUUCGUGACACAUCAGUGGCAAUGGGACCUUAAGCGCGACAGCGCCAACCUUCACACGGUUGAGCUCGGAUCAGGUAGGGAUACCCGCUGAACUUAAGCAUAUCAAUAAGCGGAGGAA
rnacentral:rRNA from 1 species